CUUUCCUCUGCUAGAGCCCAAGUCUUUCUGGGAACUUUAUCUUUUGUCAUUUGAAUCUGAGAGACCCACUAUAUUGACUGAUUUCUUUUUUUUUUUUUUUAACUUGACACAAGAAAAUUUCUUCAAAGGCCUUGAUUCAGAGUAUUGUCAGUGUUGAGUAAAGAUACAAUUUCAAUUUAAGACCAAAGUUUCGCUUUUGGUGAAGAAUACAGCAGGUCUAAAUUCAAUUCAGAGACUCACGUUCUAUAUAUCUCUGAGGAAGGCACAUUAUGCAUAUCAUGUGGUUGUCAUAAUGGAUAUAAGAUUGAUUAUGGAGUUGAGGAAAAACAAUAUUGCAUGAAAGACACUUUGGGGAAUAAUCAACUCAGCACUACUACUUCUGGGGAACCCUCAGACCUAGAAAGGCCAAGUGCAUCAGAUGUCAGCAGAAGGAACGUCCACAAAGCACUGAGUGACGGGGCUGUAUCCUGUUUCAAAGCCUCCUGUGACUCCUCAUGCUGUUGGAGAGCAUUUAAAGCUCACUAGCUCGGUCCACAGGGAUUGCCCUUACCUGACCUGUCUCUGCUCAUGGAACACAUAGAGCUACGCUACAGAAUAUGAGCAUGCUGACUGGUGUCUUAGAGGAAAACACAAGGCAGAACCUGGGCAGAGACGGGAGCUGCUCCGUUUCCCACACGGAUUCAGCUGAAGAUUCAGCUUGCCCAUCAAGACAAUUUCAUCUCUCAAAUGAAAUAUGGCUGGGAGAUUUAUUAGAGGAGCGACAGCAUGAUAAAUGAGUUGUCUGUCAUCCUUACAUCCUUCCUCUUAUGGCAGCUGAAUGCUGUCUCUCAUUUCUUCAGAUGGAAUUCAGAUGUAAAAGAAAGAAGAAAUGAGGCUAUGGAAAAUCUUGGAAUGUGCACCAGAAGAACUGUUCACACCAUCUGCUCCAGCAAUGGUCAACACAUGGCAAACCAACAAUUGAUAAAAAUCUCCUUAAAAAUGUUCUUAAAAACAUGGAUAUGGUUAUCUAUUUCCAGUUUCCCUGGAAGUAUGUCUGGUUGCCAUCAGUAUGUCUGGUCUUUCAGAAGAGGACAUCAGAUCUAGAACUAGAGUUGCAGGAAGCUGUAAGUUACUAUGUAUGUGGUUGCUAGGAAUUGAACUUGGGUUCUUUGCAAGAGGAGCCAGUGCUAUUAACCAAAGAGCCAUCUUUCCAGCCAUC